rnacentral:rRNA from 1 species
GUGGGGAAUUUUGGACAAUGGGCGAAAGCCUGAUCCAGCAAUGCCGCGUGUGUGAAGAAGGCCUUCGGGUUGUAAAGCACUUUUGGAAGGGAAGAAACAGUGCGUGCUAAUACCAUGCGCGAAUGACGGUACCUGCAGAAUAAGCACCGGCUAACUACGUGCCAGCAGCCGCGGUAAUACGUAGGGUGCAAGCGUUAAUCGGAAUUACUGGGCGUAAAGCGUGCGCAGGCGGCUUUGUAAGACGGAUGUGAAAGCCCCGGGCUCAACCUGGGAAGUGCAUUCGUGACUGCAAGGCUAGAGUGUGUCAGAGGGAGGUGGAAUUCCGCGUGUAGCAGUGAAAUGCGUAGAGAUGCGGAGGAACACCGAUGGCGAAGGCAGCCUCCUGGGAUAACACUGACGCUCAGGCACGAAAGCGUGGGGAGCAAACAGGAUUAGAAACCCGGGUAGUCC